AGCGUACACGGUGGAUGCCCUGGCAGUCAGAGGCGAUGAAGGGCGUGCUAAUCUGCGAUAAGCGCCGGUAAGGUGAUAUGAACCGUUAUAACCGGCGAUACCCGAAUGGGGAAACCCAGUGUGAUUCGUCACACUAUCAUUAACUGAAUCCAUAGGUUAAUGAGGCGAACCGGGGGAACUGAAACAUCUAAGUACCCCGAGGAAAAGAAAUCAACCGAGAUUCCCCCAGUAGCGGCGAGCGAACGGGGAGGAGCCCAGAGCCUGAAUCAGCAUGUGUGUUAGUGGAAGCGUCUGGAAAGGCGCGCGAUACAGGGUGACAGCCCCGUACACAAAAGCGCAUGUGCUGUGAGCUCGAUGAGUAGGGCGGGACACGUGGUAUCCUGUCUGAAUAUGGGGGGACCAUCCUCCAAGGCUAAAUACUCCUGACUGACCGAUAGUGAACCAGUACCGUGAGGGAAAGGCGAAAAGAACCCCGGCGAGGGGAGUGAAAAAGAACCUGAAACCGUGUACGUACAAGCAGUGGGAGCACAGGUUUACCUGUGUGACUGCGUACCUUUUGUAUAAUGGGUCAGCGACUUAUAUUCUGUAGCAAGGUUAACCGUNNNNNNNNNNGAACCCCGGCGAGGGGAGUGAAAAAGAACCUGAAACCGUGUACGUACAAGCAGUGGGAGCCCCACCACUAAGCCAGUGGUGAACUCCACAUCCGCAUCCUUUGCUGAGGAUACGGUUAACGGAGCGAAAGCGACGUUCAACCGCAAAACAAGCAGAGGGGGCUUAGUGGUGGGGUGACUGCGUACCUUUUGUAUAAUGGGUCAGCGACUUAUAUUCUGUAGCAAGGUUAACCGAAUAGGGGAGCCGGAGGGAAACCGAGUCUUAAUUGGGCGUUAAGUUGCAGGGUAUAGACCCGAAACCCGGUGAUCUAGCCAUGGGCAGGUUGAAGGUUGGGUAACACUAACUGGAGGACCGAACCGACUAAUGUUGAAAAAUUAGCGGAUGACCUGUGGCUGGGGGUGAAAGGCCAAUCAAACCGGGAGAUAGCUGGUUCUCCCCGAAAGCUAUUUAGGUAGCGCCUCGUGAAUUCAUCUCCGGGGGUAGAGCACUGUUUCGGCUAGGGGGCCAUCCCGGCUUACCAACCCGAUGCAAACUGCGAAUACCGGAGAAUGUUAUCACGGGAGACACACGGCGGGUGCUAACGUCCGUCGUGAAGAGGGAAACAACCCAGACCGCCAGCUAAGGUCCCAAAGUCAUGGUUAAGUGGGAAACGAUGUGGGAAGGCCCAGACAGCCAGGAUGUUGGCUUAGAAGCAGCCAUCAUUUAAAGAAAGCGUAAUAGCUCACUGGUCGAGUCGGCCUGCGCGGAAGAUGUAACGGGGCUAAACCAUGCACCGAAGCUGCGGCAGCGAACGUAUCACCCAAGACAACUUUACGGAGUUGACGAUUGACGGAGCGAAGCGACGUCAAAGCGUUCAUUAAAGUCGAGUUGGCUUAGGGAUACGUUCGUUGGGUAGGGGAGCGUUCUGUAAGCCCGUGAAGGUGGCCUGUGAGGGUNNNNNNNNNNUCAUUAAAGUCGAGUUGGCUUAGGGAUACGUUCGUUGGGUAGGGGAGCGUUCUGUAAGCCUGUGAAGGUGUGUCGUGAGGCAUGCUGGAGGUAUCAGAAGUGCGAAUGCUGACAUAAGUAACGAUAAAGCGGGUGAAAAGCCCGCUCGCCGGAAGACCAAGGGUUCCUGUCCAACGUUAAUCGGGGCAGGGUGAGUCGACCCCUAAGGCGAGGCCGAAAGGCGUAGUCGAUGGGAAACGGGUUAAUAUUCCCGUACUUGGUGUUACUGCGAAGGGGGGACGGAGAAGGCUAUGUUGGCCGGGCGACGGUUGUCCCGGUUUAAGCGUGUAGGUGUGUGUUCCAGGUAAAUCCGGUUCACUUUAACACUGAGGCGUGACGACGAGGCACUACGGUGCUGAAGUAACAAAUGCCCUGCUUCCAGGAAAAGCCUCUAAGCAUCAGGUAACACGAAAUCGUACCCCAAACCGACACAGGUGGUCAGGUAGAGAAUACCAAGGCGCUUGAGAGAACUCGGGUGAAGGAACUAGGCAAAAUGGUGCCGUAACUUCGGGAGAAGGCACGCUGACACGUAGGUGAAGUGAUUUACUCAUGGAGCUGAAGUCAGUCGAAGAUACCAGCUGGCUGCAACUGUUUAUUAAAAACACAGCACUGUGCAAACACGAAAGUGGACGUAUACGGUGUGACGCCUGCCCGGUGCCGGAAGGUUAAUUGAUGGGGUCAGCGUAAGCGAAGCUCCUGAUCGAAGCCCCGGUAAACGGCGGCCGUAACUAUAACGGUCCUAAGGUAGCGAAAUUCCUUGUCGGGUAAGUUCCGACCUGCACGAAUGGCGUAAUGAUGGCCAGGCUGUCUCCACCCGAGACUCAGUGAAAUUGAACUCGCUGUGAAGAUGCAGUGUACCCGCGGCAAGACGGAAAGACCCCGUGAACCUUUACUAUAGCUUGACACUGAACAUUGAGCCUUGAUGUGUAGGAUAGGUGGGAGGCUUUGAAGUGUGGACGCCAGUCUGCAUGGAGCCGACCUUGAAAUACCACCCUUUAAUGUUUGAUGUUCUAACGUGGACCCGUAAUCCGGGUUGCGGACAGUGUCUGGUGGGUAGUUUGACUGGGGCGGUCUCCUCCUAAAGAGUAACGGAGGAGCACGAAGGUUGGCUAAUCCUGGUCGGACAUCAGGAGGUUAGUGCAAUGGCAUAAGCCAGCUUGACUGCGAGCGUGACGGCGCGAGCAGGUGCGAAAGCAGGUCAUAGUGAUCCGGUGGUUCUGAAUGGAAGGGCCAUCGCUCAACGGAUAAAAGGUACUCCGGGGAUAACAGGCUGAUACCGCCCAAGAGUUCAUAUCGACGGCGGUGUUUGGCACCUCGAUGUCGGCUCAUCACAUCCUGGGGCUGAAGUAGGUCCCAAGGGUAUGGCUGUUCGCCAUUUAAAGUGGUACGCGAGCUGGGUUUAGAACGUCGUGAGACAGUUCGGUCCCUAUCUGCCGUGGGCGCUGGAGAACUGAGGGGGGCUGCUCCUAGUACGAGAGGACCGGAGUGGACGCAUCACGGGGUUCGGGUUGUCAUGCCAAUGGCACUGCCCGGUAGCUAAAUGCGGAAGAGAUAAGUGCUGAAAGCAUCUAAGCACGAAACUUGCCCCGAGAUGAGUUCU
rnacentral:rRNA from 1 species